rnacentral:rRNA from 1 species
UACAGAGGUCUCAAGCGUUGUUCGGAUUCAUUGGGCGUAAAGGGUGCGUAGGUGGUGCUGUAAGUCAGGUGUGAAAUCUCGGGGCUCAACCCCGAAACUGCACUUGAUACUGCAGUGCUCGAGGACUGGAGAGGAGAUUGGAAUUCAUGGUGUAGCAGUGAAAUGCGUAGAUAUCUGGAGGAACACCGGUGGCGAAGGCGGCGUUCUGGACUGCAACUGACACUGAGAAACGAAAGCCAGGGGAGCAAACGGG